AUUGAACGCUGGCGGUAUGCUUAAGACAUGCAAGUCGAACGGUAACAGGUUAAGCUGACGAGUGGCGGACGAGUGAGUAACGCGUGGGAAUCUACCUUGUAGUGGGGGAUAAGCCAGGGAAACUUGGACUAAUACCGCAUACGCCCUAAGGGGAAAGGCGCAAGUCGCUAUAAGAUGAGCCCGCGUCUGAUUAGGUAGUUGGUGGGGUAAAGGCCUACCAAGCCGACGAUCAGUAGCUGGUCUGAGAGGAUGAUCAGCCACGUCGGGACUGAGACACGGCCCGGACUCCUACGGGAGGCAGCAGUCGGGAAUAUUGGACAAUGGGGGAAACCCGUGAUCCAGCAAUACCGCGUGUGUGAAGAAGGCCUGCGGGUUGUAAACUGCUUUUGUCGGGGAAGAAAUCUUCUGGGCUAAUACCCCGGGAGGAUGACGGUACCUGAAGAAUAAGCACCGGCUAACUACGUGCCAGCAGCCGCGGUAAGGAUGAGACGU
rnacentral:rRNA from 1 species